CAAGGAAUGAAAAUUUAAUCACCAGACAGGCACUAAAUGAACUAUGGCGUUCGAAUAGGACAGAAGAAGUUUUUGCAGAAUGUGAUAAGAUAUGUGCUUUCCUGAUGCAGACUUUAAAGUCUAUUAUUCAUGUAUAUCCAACCUACGGCGGAAAAAAUAAAGACAAUGUAGAAUUUGUAGUACUCACUAACAAGAAACUUCGUCGUCCAAAAAAUAUCAAAUAUGCUCUCCAUAUAAGGAAAGUAAAAGAAUGUUCAGGUGAAAGUAUAGCUAUUAUGCGAAGUGAAAAAUAUAGGCGUAACAAAUAUAGGCUGAGCCCAAAGAAGGCAAAAGUUAUCAGGGAAGUCAUUAAUAAAAAUGCUAAAGAGCUGAUGUCAAAUCAUAAAUAUUUGUCCGUGAUUACCGGGAGUGGAAUACGAUCGAAGAAUUACGGCGGAAAAGAACACCUUAUAAAAUCCGAGCCUUGUAUUGCUAUGUAUGUUUGUAUAAAAGGUAAAAUACCGUUAGCUGAGGAAGAACUACCAAAAGAGAUAAACGGAAUCCCAGUUGAUGUGAGAGAGGGCUUCUUCCAAAACAGUAUUUCAACUGCCGAUGAAUAUCAGAAGAAACUACGCCUAGGGUGCCAGAUUAAAUCGGACGUAGGUGCGAAUGGUAUUGGAACACUCGCCGGAUUUGUAGAUCGAAAAGAAUACGGCUUGUGUGGUGUAACAUGCGCUCAUGUUGUUCUGAACGAAAGAGAAUUACAUGAUCACAGGAGCGCAGAAAAAAAAAACAUGGGAAGUUGGAAAGCGAUAUAUAUACCAACCAGCAAACAUUCGUCCGAAAAACCGUGUAGGUUCCUUAAGAGAAACCUUCUAUAAUUCAGGCAACAAGCGCAACGCUGGUGUUGACCUUGCUCUUUUUGAAAUUGAAAAGAGACACCCGGAUUCAGGUGAAUUUUCCGAAACAAGUGAAAACUUGCGCUUCGAUACCGGACGCCUUGUAAGAGAAUCUCAGUUGAAUAUAUACAAGGGAGAAGUACUGAAGUAUGGACAAACUACUGGCCGAACUGAGGGUGUCCUAGAGUUUUUGGGCACUGCUGUAAAAAGGAUUGAAUUUAAUAGGAAGUAUACUAUAAACGACAAGGAACUCACCUAUACCCUUUUUGACCAGCUUGAAAUACGACAAAAAUUUGGGCACGAUCUUUUCUCUGACGACGGAGAUUCUUGAGCCUUAGUGUUUACUGAAACCGUAAAUAAGGAGCUUGCUUGCCUUGGUAUGAUUGUGGGAACCUUAAAUUUCAAUGAUGGGACUACACGUAGAGGAAACAGUAUUGUUACGCCCGCGUCGGCAAUCAUGGAUAGACUUGGUAUUUCUGAACUUAAAAGUUUUGUUUGGAACAGGAUUGAUCGUGUGGAAAAAAGCAUUAGCAAUAUCAACAGGCGUCUUGGGCUGUUAAAAAACAUUAACACGCGCAUGAAAAAAAUUGAAAAAAUGCUUCAGAAAAAAAGUUAGAAUUUUCACGAUCAAGUCCGGGGCAAAAAUGCGUAGGAUAUUGAUUGCAUAGACGGUGAAGACAGACAAGAACAAAAGGUUUGCCAUGAAACUACGACUUAAAUAUUACUGUAUGCAUACAGACACUAAAUCGGGAAAUGACGCGAAAAAUGCUGUUCGCAUUAUGGCGGAUACAAAUAGUCCUCCGUUUGUUUGCUCUGUAGUUAUUUUUCUUAUUUUCUUUCUGAUUUUUCUGCUGAAAUCCCAUGUUAGAUCUAUGCAUAACAUGUAGGUAGCAUUUUCAUAAUGAGAUAACUUCAUGGAAACAUAGAUCAUUUUGGGGUCUCAAUUUUUAGCUGAUUUUGUAGUUUGUGUGUUUGACUGUAAAUAUUUCUCUUGCAUCGAAUAUGACCCCUACUUUUCUUUUGAUUUUUAUUCAGCACUGACAAUAUUUUUCAAGAAAAUUUAAGUUACAGACAUCAACAUUGGUCCUGAUGUGUGCUGCCGCCAUUGGAAAUAUUUCAAUUAUAUAUAGAAUGCCUACAUAUUGAUGUCGUGAAUUACAGCCAAGCAUUUGUGACAUGAGUUAGUUUCACAUUUUACUAAAUGAUCUCGUAUAUUUAUGUUUGAUAAGCCGUCAGUCAUCUUACUUUCAGUUUUAACUUUUCUAUGGUGUUACACAAUUGUCUUGUGUUUAGAUUAGUAAUAAAUAUGCAUUAUAAUGAAAUGUUUUAAAAAGGCACAUUUUUUGAGGUUUUACCCAAAUUUAUACGAAAUAUUUUUUAUGAAAUGAUUGAUUACAGGGGUAUUUAAGAUCUAUUUUGUACAAUUACUAAUGUUUAAUUCUAUAAAUCGUUCAUCCAUAAAAAUGAAUUACUUUAGGUAGAAUCUUACGUGUUUUGAUAAAUUUGAUGUGAUAUGUGAGUUAAAAUCAGGUGAAUUCUUUUUCUACAAUUAGUGAACUAGAAAAGUCUUCUUUUUUUUGUUUUACAGAUAUAGAUUCUUUGAGUGGCUGAUUUUUUUUAAAAAAUAAAGGCACACGCUCGUUGGUUUUAUAACGUCACUAGAAAUUUCGGAGUACUUCUUUCAAUAAUUAAUUACAAGAUGAAUUCAUAAACAUUUUGUAUCUCUAAAACGAUACAGUAUAUUUCUUUUCUUGUGAAAUAUUUUAGAAUUCUCGAUAACGAAACAGGCUUGAGGAAAGCUUUCAUAUGCAUCGACAGUAUGCGUCUGCUGACAAAUUCCCAAAAUUUUAAGGCAAUUAUGCGUUUCAACUGGUGGCUGAUUUCUGUCGUGUCGUUUUGGCGUCUUUGCGGAGCGAAAACACGACAAUACAAAAAUCCUACGCAUUUUACACAAAAACACCUUGUCUAAAAGGCAGAAACACGAAAUACUUAUUUGUCGAGUUUUCUAGUUGUUGGGUAUGAAUAAGUCGUGUUAGUGUCCUCAAAUGAUGUGCUGUCGUAUUGUCUUGACAUCGCAACAUACCUUAUUUGUCGAGUAUUUCCCAACCAACAGGAAAACACGAAAAAUACCUUAUUUUUAAGAUGACAAAGAGAUCUGGUCUGAUGAUAAUCAAUAUAGCGAACAGUAAGAAAACGGCCAACCUAGCGCUCACAUUUAGCGUAGGUAACGUACAAGGUAAUGAUAAGGAAAAUGUCUCCCGUUACAGCUUUUCUUUUUCCAGCAAAAGAGCUCAGAUUCUCUAGCUCUACCUACAAGGCUGUUUGAAACGUUUCACCCGCCGUUUAAAUUUGAAAACCUAAUCAUAACAUAUCUAUCCACAUGAUCGGGACUUUUUAUCUUUUUUGUUUUGUAAUGCAACAUAUAUACAAAUCAUGUUAAAUACGUGUACUAGGUUGGUAUGACAAUGCGGCAAUGCAACAAGAUUAUUUGAUGGAGGUAGAAUUACUUUUUUAUUCUAAAUUUUACUGAUUUUUGAAGCUCGGUAUUAGAUCACAUUAACACUGAGACGGAUACUCACAAAACGUCGAGUUUUCUCGCAGAACGAGUCUUGUUUUCAUGUUUUCGUCCUACCUACAGGAAAACAUGGACACAAGAAAACUUGACAAAUAAGGUGUUUGUCAAGCUUUUGUGUUACCGUGUUGUAAUGUGUUUGCCUUGCAACACGACUUGGCAGAAAUCAGUCACCAUAGUUUAUUGAUUUCGAAAUUUACGCACAUAAGAGAUAUGUAUAGUCUAAAUCGAUCACACCAUGUACGCCGAACUUAAAUUAAUAUUCAGAGGCUUGUCAGAUGUGUGUUUUCAAAACGUUUCAAUGCACAUAAAUGUAUCUUCUGUGAAUAUGUAGAGAAUUUAUAUUCAUAUUCAUUUUUUCUUUAUAAAAAACACUCUAUAUUCAUUCGUAGCAUGACCAUGUUCCACCUUCAGGCCUCUGUAACCUUGAUCUUUGAUCGAGUGAGUCCAACAAAAGGAGUCAACUACUCUGCAUGUCUAAUCAUCCUAUGAAGUUUCAACAUUCUGGGUCAAGUGAUUCUCGAGUUAUUGUUCCAGAAAGAGUUUUUCCAUCUUCAUGCCUCUGUGACCUUUCCCUUAAGUCAAGUGACCCAAGAAAACUAAGAGUCAUCGACUUUGUUAUUCCUAACAUCGUGAUUGAAGGUUCUGGGUCAAAUGAUUCUAAUGUUAUUGGUUGGAAACUGUUUUCUGGUUCCUGUAACCCUAACUUUUGAUCAAGUGAUUCAAAAAUCAAUAGGGGUCCAUGAAGUUUCAACAUUCUGGGUCCUCAAGUUAUUGAUCAGAAAGGGGUUUCCAUGUUUAGGCCCCUGUGAUGUUUACAGGUGAUUUUUUUUAUUUUACUUUUUCUUUCUAAUGAGAUCUCAUCUUUGUAAAAGCAGGCUAUGAAUACAUUAUAAAUGUGCAUGAAUUACAUAGAUUAAAGACACUUCAUUAUAUUUACAA